GGACUGUAGGCUGCAACUCGCCUACACGAAGUUGGAAUUGCUAGUAAUCGUGGAUCAGCAUGCCACGGUGAAUACGUUCCCGGGUCUUGUACACACCGCCCGUCACACCAUGGGAGCUGGUAACACCCGAAGUCAGUAGUCUAACCGCAAGGAGGGCGCUGCCGAAGGUGGGAUUAGCGACUGGGGUGAAGUCGUAACAAGGUAAC
rnacentral:rRNA from 1 species